rnacentral:rRNA from 1 species
UACGUAGGGUGCGAGCGUUAAUCGGAAUUACUGGGCGUAAAGGGCUCGUAGGCGGCCAACUAAGUCGGAUGUGAAAUCCCCAGGCUUAACCUGGGAACUGCAUCCGAUACUGGAUGGCUUGAAUUCGGGAGAGGGAUGCAGAAUUCCAGGUGUAGCGGUGAAAUGCGUAGAUAUCUGGAGGAAUACCGGUGGCGAAGGCGG